rnacentral:rRNA from 1 species
GACGACGCUGGCGGCGUGCCUAACACAUGCAAGUCGAACGGAGAUAUGCGAACGAGGCCGUUCGGGCGGAGAUUGCAUAUUUUAGUGGCGGACGGGCGAGUAACGCGUGAGCAACCUCGCCCUUCAGGUGGGGGAUAACGUAGACGAAAGUUACGCUAAUACCGCAUAUUCUGUGAGCAGGAAAGCAGGGGAUCGCAAGACCUUGCGCUGAUUGAGCGGCCGAUAUCAGAUUAGCUAGUUGGUGAGGUAAAGGCUCACCAAGGCGACGAUCUGUAGCGGGUCUGAGAGGAUGAUCCGCCACACUGGAACUGAGACACGGUCCAGACUCCGUACGGGAGGCAGCAGGUGGGGUAAUUUUGGACAAUGGGGGCAACCCUGAUCCAGCCAUGCCGCGUGAGUGAUGAAGGCCUUAGGGUUGUAAAGCUCUUUCAGUGGGGACGAUAAUGACGGUACCCACAGAAGAAGCCCCGGCUAACUUCGUG